UCAACACCAAAUUGACAUUUCAAUCGACAUAGCCUUUCCAUUUUCUCUUCAUGUUUCGAUUAAUGGCGAACUCAUGUAUUCCAAGUAAUUUAUUUCUUUUGCUUUCCCUAUUCUGUAACGGGUCAGAAACCCUACAAUGCCUUUCCAUUCUCUCCUCAACAAUAUAAGGUAUUCCCCGAUCCAGAACAAAAAGCUCAUCCUUACAUCAAUUGGAUUCUCUCUAUAAAAUGUCCGAUCCCAAUCGAGAACAGCAUCAGUUUCACUUGAACAUUGGCUUCAGUUGAAGAGUUUGCAAUCCCUUGACGAAGAAAAAUCAAGCGUUCAUGUUAUUAGGAAAUGGGAAGAAGAAUUGGACUUUAUGACCAACGACAUAUCGACGAGCAGAUUGGUGAGAAAUUACACUUGGCUGCUGCUAAACCCACAUUCAGACAAGCAAACAGUGACAAGAUUUUAUGCAGUCACGUAACUGCCAGGGAAGUGAUAUUAGUAGUGCCAAUAGAGUCAGUAGUAUUCCGCAACGGAAUUGAGAAAGUGGAGUAUGGGCUGGACUCAUCGACCUUGGGGCAAGCAUUGUGGUAUUGAAAAUAUUCUCUUCACACAUAAAGCUCAGAUAUAAAAGUUAUCAUUUCUCAAUGAACUCAAGUCACUCUACAAACUCUUCCUUAUUUAAGGAGCUAAAGAACGUUCAUCAGGAAUCCACUUAAAUAUGAUAGAUGGAGAGAAAGAACUCUCAUUGAUGGAAUGACCAAAGAAUCAAAUAUCAUAAUAACUAUAUAUAUGAUAAAUCUAAUGAAUUGUUUCUGGAGAAAGUUAAAAGUUUCGUUGUUAAUGGUUUGCAUACGACUGAAUAUGAUGGGGGAGCACGACUCUAACCCUUAACUUUCGCUGCAUCAUCCUCAUUCUGGAACUGAAAUCUACAUUAAACCGUACAAAUUAGCCAUCUGGACUUUAUAUCUUUUGGCUUAUAAUUUAAAAGGACUACAUGAGCUGCUUGAGUUCAUGAGCAACUUAUUAUUGAGGCGAUAAUGAAGGGAACUCAACAGGUUGAAGUGGUAUAGAACCUAGUGAAUCGUGCAUACACUCUUAUAACUGCUUCUUCUUCAAAGUUGAGCGGGGAAGUUGGGAAUUGAAAUUGGGCUUAUUUAAAUGGUUAGCCGGAGUUGCUACAAGAGCGAGACUUUAGUUUCUAUUCCACUUCGUUAGCAGAUCACUUGAGACUUAUAGCCGAGCUAAGGUCCACCGUAGGGUGUGGCUCCCUUUAGUAUAGCGGAUACUUGCUUUGCUAGGGCAUACAUGGGCCGCUUUUAAGGUGUAGGGAAGAGGCUCAACAGGUAAAAUGGUAUGGGUUCCCUGGUUCCCCACUUUUUAGUCUAAGGGUGCCUAACCGCCGCACCGAGAAUUCAGAGCUAAUCUUUGUGCAGCAGAGCUUCCUUCGGGGGAUUCCGCCACGUCUCUGAAGCCUGACUUUUGCCUGUCAAUGCUCGCUCGAAUCUCUUUGAUCACUUCAAAGGCCCAGUAACAUUUGUUAGAACUUCGAGAAGAGUAUACCUUGAAACAUAGCUUGUUAGCUUUAGAACGGUUCUAGACCUGAGAAGCCUCAGAACUGCAGUACUAGGGCCUGUGUACCGUGAGGGAAAGGUGAAAAUAACCCUAUUUAGGGAGUGCAAUAGAGAACUUGAAAUCCGAUGCGAACAAUCAGUCGAAGGAGAAGAUGGCUCUAGCGGCAUAUCUGUUGGUAAGCACAACGACCCAGAGCUGGUAAAAAAUAGUGCUGCUUGUUACAGAUCAUCUUUCGAAGGGAGAGCAUCAUUUGAAGUUCGGAUGUUCCUCUUCCUGAGCCCGGGUCUUCAUGGAAUAGCGAAAUUGGCUUCAAGGUUGGGUAGAUCAGCAGGAAUUGAUGGGUUGACAUCAUCUGGUGACUUGAGAUUACAGAAGUUAGACGAGCAUCUCAGACCCAAAAGGUGCCCCACAUAGGUCUUCUCCAGAAAGCUCCAGCCACGCUCGGGGUAUUGAAACCGACAACAACGAUAAAAACGAGCGCCCAUUUCCAAUACAAUAGAGUCUCUACUAUUGAAUACCGUGAUUGAUGAGUGGGUAGGUGUGACGUUCUUCUACUUGAGUUGGAACGUGACAAAAUUUCGUGAUUCAGAUAUGUGAGAGCACGAACGGCGGAAUGAUCUAAUGGUAGCAGGAAGGACGAAAUUAGUUGUAGCUUCACAAAAAGGCACGAUCUCAAAAAGCAGUAUCAGAGAGGCAUCCCUGCGGCGGCAGGACCUUAUUUGGGCAUUCUUUUUUCUACCGGGGCUCUCAUUAUGCGAUAACACCCCCUUGGUUGUAGUGCAAAUACGAACCAACUUGUGUACCCUCGCCCUAAAGACAGACUUAAAUCAAUAAGAGAAAGAAGCUGGGUUUCCGAGAUUCCCCAUGAGAUGGAUGAGAAGAGUAUCUUAGGGCAAGGAGCAAACCGAGAGACUUUUAAUUCUGUCUCUCUUCCGCUCCCUUUUUAGAAUGGCUCCAGUCUCUACAUUCAUGUUAAGUCUGGUCUAGAAUCCGAAUGGAUAUAAGAUGAGAAUGAAAUAGUUGGUUUACACUGCUGCCCGCCCUUUCUCAUCC